GAUGAACGCUGGCGGCGUGCCUAAUACGUGCAAGUCGAGCGAACUGAUUAGAAGCUUGCUUCUAUGACGUUAGCGGCGGACGGGUGAGUAACACGUGGGCAACCUGCCUGUAAGACUGGGAUAACUUCGGGAAACCGAAGCUAAUACCGGAUAGGAUCUUCUCCUUCAUGGGAGAUGAUUGAAAGAUGGUUUCGGCUAUCACUUCCCGAUCGUCACGCGGUGCAUUGGCUAGUUGGUGAGGUAACGGCUCACCAAGGCAACGAUGCAUCGCCGACCUGAGAGGGUGAUCGGCCACACUGGGACUGAGACACGGCCCAGACUCCUACGGGAGGCAGCAGUAGGGAAUCUUCCGCAAUGGACGAAAGUCUGACGGAGCAACGCCGCGUGAGUGAUGAAGGCUUUCGGGUCGUAAAACUCUGUUGUUAGGGAAGAACAAGUACAAGAGUAACUGCUUGUACCUUGACGGUACCUAACCAGAAAGCCACGGCUAACUACGUGCCAGCCGCCGCCGUAA
rnacentral:rRNA from 1 species